GACGAACGCUGGCGGCGCGCCUAACACAUGCAAGUCGAACGGAGUCAAGAGGAGCUUGCUUUUCUUGACUUAGUGGCGAACGGGUGAGUAACGCGUGAGUAACCUGCCCUGGAGUGGGGGACAACAGUUGGAAACGACUGCUAAUACCGCAUAAGCCCACGGAUCUGCAUGGAUCUGCGGGAAAAGGAAUUAUUCGCUCUAGGAUGGACUCGCGUCCAAUUAGCUAGUUGGUGAGGUAACGGCCCACCAAGGCGACGAUUGGUAGCCGGACUGAGAGGUUGAACGGCCACAUUGGGACUGAGACACGGCCCAGACUCCUACGGGAGGCAGCAGUGGGGGAUAUUGCACAAUGGGGGAAAUCCUGAUGCAGCGACGCCGCGUGGAGGAAGAAGGUUUUCGGAUUGUAAACUCCUGUCGUUAGGGACGAUAAUGACGGUACCUAACAAGAAAGCACCAGCUAACUACGUG
rnacentral:rRNA from 1 species